UGCCCAGCAACUCCUAUCCCUACCUCCACGCAGUACCGGCCGGAAACUAUGAACAACCUUACGGAAGAUCGGGUAACCAACCCCGGUGGGAACUUUGGUCGUAGGCUGACAGGGAAGG
rnacentral:ribozyme from 1 species